AUUUUGAAAUCUGGCAUUUGAUGAGUCAGCCUGGGAGAAACUGGAAACACAUUGUGAGAGGUACCUUCUGUGAAAAAAGUGCAACUUUGUGACAUGAUAUGCCUGCCUGACUGUAUAUACCUGAGCAGCACACAGCUUAUUUCUGCAUAAAAGAAACAUAUCAAGAUAAUUUUGAAUCAGACUGUGUGCUGGAAAAAUGGCCCUACAUCUAAAGGAGUGAAAUUUGGAGAGUCAUUCGC
rnacentral:lncRNA from 1 species